GACGAACGCUGGCGGCGUGCUUAACACAUGCAAGUCGUGCGGAAAGGCCACUUCGGUGGUACUCGAGCGGCGAACGGGUGAGUAACACGUGAGUAAUCUGCCCCUCACUUUGGGAUAGCCACCGGAAACGGUGAUUAAUACCGGAUAUGACCAUAUGUCGCAUGGCGUGUGGUGGAAAGUUUUUCGGUGAGGGAUGUGCUCGCGGCCUAUCAGCUUGAUGGUGAGGUAAUGGCUCACCAUGGCUUCGACGGGUAGCCGGCCUGAGAGGGUGACCGGUCACACUGGGACUGAGACACGGCCCAGACUCCUACGGGAGGCAGCAGUGGGGAAUAUUGGACAAUGGGCGGAAGCCUGAUCCAGCAACGCCGCGUGAGGGAUGACGGCCUUCGGGUUGUAAACCUCUUUCAGUACCGACGAAGCGCAAGUGACGGUAGGUACAGAAGAAGCACCGGCCAACUACGUG
rnacentral:rRNA from 1 species